rnacentral:rRNA from 1 species
UACGUAGGGCGCAAGCGUUGUCCGGAAUUAUUGGGCGUAAAGAGCUCGUAGGCGGCUUGUCACGUCGGAUGUGAAAGCCCGGGGCUUAACUCCGGGUCUGCAUUCGAUACGGGCUGGCUAGAGUGUGGUAGGGGAGAUCGGAAUUCCUGGUAUAGCGGUGAAAUGCGCAGAUAUCAGGAGGAACACCGGUGGCGAAGGCGGGUCUCUGGGCCGAUACUGACGCUGAGGAGCGAAAGCGUGGGGAGCGAACAGG